UACGUAGGGCGCAAGCGUUAUCCGGAAUUAUUGGGCGUAAAGAGCUCGUAGGCGGCCAACUAAGUCAGACGUGAAAUCCCUCGGCUUAACCGGGGAACUGCGUCUGAUACUGGAUGGCUUGAGUUUGGGAGAGGGAUGCGGAAUUCCAGGUGUAGCGGUGAAAUGCGUAGAUAUCUGGAGGAACACCGGUGGCGAAGGCGGCAUCCUGGACCAACACUGACGCUGAGUGAGCGAAAGCCAGGGGAGCAAAGCGGG
rnacentral:rRNA from 1 species